rnacentral:misc_RNA from 1 species
GCCUUAUUUAUAAUGCCCCUCAACA